UGCUUGGUCACCUGGCUCUUCGUCUGCCUACGGCUUUUGGUUGACAAAGCGCACCACCAGGUGGAAAGGCCUAAGACGUCAGGACUCCUCCCAUCCGCUGCCUCCCCUCCACCCACUCUAGAAGGUAAAAGGCUUUAGCAGCGACAUCCUACGCAGAUUUUAAAUCAGGAAGUGCUACAGACUAUUUUUCUCCAGGCUAGCAUCUUCAAAGAGACCUCAGUUCACAACAAGUAAGACCUAUUUAAACGGUUCCAGCAGCAUCAGAUAACUGAUAAUCAAAAUUUUAAAAGUAGCGAGCGGUGGCAUACUCUGCCAGAGCUCAAAAAAACAAAACAAACAAGCAAAAAAAAAGGGUUGAGGAAAGGAAAGAUGGUUAUUAGUUCUGAAAAGUCUUAUUUUUUCUUGGGCAAAACCAGAAACAAAAUAGUGUUUGCAUUUCUGUGGCUGAGCACACAAAGUGUUACGUAGCAACCACAGAUAGCCAGUGGUAGAAAAACAAGGCAGCGUGACAUCCGGAGGGAGCUGUCCAGUCACCGGACACCACUGUGUGCCUGUUGCCUAAUUUCACCACCAGCAUGUCCCCUGCUGCUGAGACAACCAGAAAGCUGGGAAGGAAGCAGCUUUGGGGAAGCGGGCCAAGGGUAAAGACCAUGGUCCCCGGCAGGGUGGGGUGGUCAGACCGUAUGACCUCCGAGGUCUCCUGAAUUAACAUGCUAUGACGUGCUUCAUGAGGGCAAUCUCCAGAUGCACGCACGUUAGGGCAGCCAGGGAAAGAGCGCAACUGCUGUCUCUGUGGAGUCUCAGAGCUGGACUUCGGGACAAAGUACAGACUUGGAAGUGGACAAGCCUGUGUUCAAACAUGGCCUUGCUGGUUGCUGUAGUACACAUUUGCCUCCCUUGCCACUCUGCAAGACAUUAUUAUUAAAAGAAAACGACAAGGCACGCCCCGAGAGAAGCUAAAGAGCAUGUAUCCGACACAGAACGUGUAUCCAGAGGUCUCUGGUCACUGAGACAUGAAAGCCACCACCCACAACUUACAAGAGGUGAGGUCGGUUUGCCUCAUGGGAGAAAGGGCACAGCAGAAGAACCAGAGGGGGGAGAACUGCUCACAUUAUGGUGGUCAGGAAGCAGAGAGAGAAGGCAGGGGCCAGAGAGGGAGGCCGCUUUCAGUUCAUGCCUCCUGUGACCUGCCUCUUCCAACCAGCUCCCACUUCCUACCAGCAUAUUCCACUGUGGAUUCCUCAGCGACCGAUCAACUGAUGCUUAAAGCGCUGCUAGGAUCCAAUCACCUUCCAAGUCUCCAACCCCUGAACACAUGACUCUUUCGGGGUACAUUCCAGAUCCAAACCAUAACAUCAGGAUGUAUUCUAAAAGCUCAGUGAAACAGGAAAUCCCCAAACAGGGAGAAGACCUUAGUGCCAAACAAGGUAUACAA